UGAGUAACCUGCCCUUAACUCUGGGAUAAGCCUGGGAAACUGGGUCUAAUACCGGAUAUGACUCCUCAUCGCAUGGUGGGGGGUGGAAAGCUUUAUUGUGGUUUUGGAUGGACUCGCGGCCUAUCAGCUUGUUGGUGAGGUAAUGGCUUACCAAGGCGACGACGGGUAGCUGGUCUGAGAGGACGACCAGCCACACUGGAACUGAGAUACGGUCCAGACUCCGUACGGGAGCAG
rnacentral:rRNA from 1 species